rnacentral:snRNA from 1 species
AUGUUCCCUUUGGUAGCACAUACACUAACAAUGGAACAAUAAAGAGAAGAUUAGCAUCACACCUAAGCAAAGAUGACAUAAAAAAUCAUGAAGGGUUUUAUAUUUAA